rnacentral:rRNA from 1 species
CACGUAGUUAGCCGGGGCUUCUUAAUCAGGUACCGUCAUUUUCUUCCCUGCUGAUAGAGCUUUACAUAUCGAAAUACUUCUUCACUCACGCGGCGUCGCUGCAUCAGGGUUUCCCCCAUUGUGCAAUAUUCCCCACUGCUGCCUCCCGCAGGAGUCUGGGCCGUGUCUCAGUCCCAAUGUGGCCGUUCACCCUCUCAGGCCGGCUACUGAUCGUCGCUUUGGUAGGCCGUUACCCUGCCAACUGGCUAAUCAGACGCGGGUCCAUCUCACACCGAUAAAUCUUUUCCGUCAGUGCCAUGCGGCACCAGCGGGUUAUGCGGUAUUAGCGGUCGUUUCCAACUGUUAUCCCCCUGUGUGAGGCAGGUUACCCACGCGUUACUCACCCGUCCGCCACUCAGUCACAAGAGACUUCAUCCGAAGAAUCAUUCUCAGGUGCUUCGUUCGACUUGCAUGUGUUAAGCACGCCGCCAGCGUUCAUCCUGAGCCAGGA